rnacentral:misc_RNA from 1 species
GGAAGGAUCAUUACUGAUUGCGAAUCGUUGCCUUCUGUGCUGGCCAGCCCUGGCAAGUGCACGUCGGUGACUUUCAUCCAAUACCCUGUGCACCUUUGGCCUCUUGCUAGCUUCGGCCGGCAGAGGAAUUUUACACACACUCGAAUGUAAUGAAAUAUACUGUCGUGCGCAAGCACUAAUGUACAACUUUCAACAACGGAUCUCUUGGCUCUCGCAUCGAUGAAGAACGCAGCGAAAUGCGAUAAGUAAUGUGAAUUGCAGAAUUCAGUGAAUCAUCGAAUCUUUGAACGCACCUUGCACCCUUUGGCAUUCCGAAGGGUAUGCUCGUUUGAGUGUCAUUGUACUCUCACACUCCCGACCGUUGGAUUGGGAGCGGUGGACUUGGGUGUUGCUGCUUACCGUGGCUCACCUC